rnacentral:rRNA from 1 species
ACACUCCUGCGGGAGGCAGCAGUGGGGAAUUUUGGACAAUGGGCGAAAGCCUGAUCCAGCAAUGCCGCGUGCAGGAUGAAGGCCUUCGGGUUGUAAACUGCUUUUGUACGGAACGAAAAAGCUCCUUCUAAUACAGGGGGCCCAUGACGGUACCGUAAGAAUAAGCACCGGCUAACUACGUGCCAGCAGCCGCGGUAAUACGUAGGGUGCGAGCGUUAAUCGGAAUUACUGGGCGUAAAGCGUGCGCAGGCGGUUAUGUAAGACAGAUGUGAAAUCCCCGGGCUCAACCUGGGAACUGCAUUUGUGACUGCAUGGCUAGAGUACGGUAGAGGGGGAUGGAAUUCCGCGUGUAGCAGUGAAAUGCGUAGAUAUGCGGAGGAACACCGAUGGCGAAGGCAAUCCCCUGGACCUGUACUGACGCUCAUGCACGAAAGCGUGGGGAGCAAACAGGAUUAGAUACCCGGGUAGUCCCAUGA